rnacentral:lncRNA from 1 species
UACAUAUUGUAGGUGUUCAAUGAUCCCACAGCAUUAACAGAGGAGCUGUAUGAUUUGCGAGACCGUUGGGCAAGUUGUUUUCUUGACCUAUAUAAUCCCGAGGUAGAUUAUGAUGAUGCCGACGAGAAAGAUUAGGAGCUAGCUAGGUUUGUGUGAAGUUACAAUGGACUAGUUAUGAUGAUGUUUUAAUUUGUAUUUUGGAUGGAUUAGUAUUAAUUAUUAUGAUGUUUUGUAUAUUUUUUUUUUUGAUAACAUGAUGUUUUGUAUUUUGGAUUACAAUGUGGUUGUACUUUAAUGACAUUAUUACUAUAUACUAUAUGUUGAAUGUUGAAUGUUGAAUUUGGCUAUGGAGGUUGAAUGUUAAAUUUUAGUAUUAUGUUGUUGAUG